rnacentral:rRNA from 1 species
GACGAACGCUGGCGGCGUGCCUAAUACAUGCAAGUCGAACGCACAGUUUAUACCGUAGCUUGCUACACCAUAGACUGUGAGUUGCGAACGGGUGAGUAACGCGUAGGUAACCUGCCUGGUAGCGGGGGAUAACUAUUGGAAACGAUAGCUAAUACCGCAUAAUAUUAAUUAUUGUAUGAUAAUUGAUUUAAAGAUGCAACUGCAUCACUACUAGAUGGACCUGCGGUGUAUUAGCUAGUAGGGGAGGUAACGGCUCACCUAGGCGGCGAUACAUAGCCGACCUGGGAGGGGGGUCGGCCACACUGGGAAGGAGACAAGGCCCAGGAGCCUACGGGGAGCGGCAGUAGGGGAACUUCGGAAAUGGAGGAAAAGCCGAACGAGCAACGCCGCGGGAGGGAAGAAGGUUUUCGGAUCGUAAAGCUCGGUUGUAAGGGAAGAAAGGGUGUGAGAGUGGAAAGUUCACACUGUGACGGUAUCUGACCAGAAAGGGACGGCUAACUACGUG